AACGAACGCUGGCGGCAUGCCUAACACAUGCAAGUCGAACGAGACCACCGGGUCUAGUGGCGCACGGCGGCGUACCGAGGGGGAACCUGCCCAUAGGUUCGUAAUCACUCCCCGAAGGGGGUGCUAAUAACGGCUGAUUUCUUCGGCCUAAAAGUUUCUUGAGCUAGGGUGGGCCCGCGUUGGCUUAGCUAGUUGGUAGGGUAAACGCCUCUUAAGGCAACAAUCGAUAGCUGGUCAGAGAGGAUGAGCAGCCACUCCGGGACUGAGACACGGCCCAGACUCCUACGCGAGGCAGCAGUGGGGAAUAUAGGAAAGCGGGGUAAAGGCUGAUCCAGCUAUGCCGGGUGAGUGAUGUAGGCCUUAGAGUUGUAAAGCUCUUUUACCCGGGAUGAUAAUGACAGUACCGGGAGAAUAAGCUCCGGCUAACUACGUG
rnacentral:rRNA from 1 species